GAUGAACGCUGGCGGCAUGCCUAACACAUGCAAGUCGAACGGACACCUUCGGGUGUCAGUGGCGAACGGGUGAGUAACGCGUAGGAAUCUACCCCUGGGAGGGGGAUAACAGCUGGAAACGGCUGCUAAUACCCCAUACAGGCGCAAGCUGAAAGGAGCAAUCCGCCCAGGGAUGAGCCUGCGUCGGAUUAGCUAGUUGGUGGGGUAAUGGCCUACCAAGGCGACGAUCCGUAGCGGGUCUGAGAGGAUGGCCCGCCACACUGGGACUGAGACACGGCCCAGACUCCUACGGGAGGCAGCAGUGGGGAAUUUUCCGCAAUGGGCGAAAGCCUGACGGAGCAAUGCCGCGUGAGGGAAGAAGGCCUUCGGGUUGUAAACCUCUUUUCUGGGGGACGAAGUUCUGACGGUACCCCAGGAAUAAGCCUCGGCUAACUCUGUGCCAGCAGCCGCGGUAAGACAGAGGAGGCGAGCGUUAUCCGGAGUCAUUGGGCGUAAAGGGUACCGUAGGCGGCUAGUCA
rnacentral:rRNA from 1 species